rnacentral:lncRNA from 1 species
CCGGGACCGAUCCCUUUGGCAGGUCCGGGCACGUCGAACAGACGCCGAACGGACAAAUCCUCCCGUCCGCCCAAGGCUCAACACAUGUUCAAUUCGAGUAAAGGAAUGCACAAGCGGAAACAUAUAUAAUGGCUUACACGAGGGUAAGCAAUAGCCAGAGUGAAAGAAUAUAAACUAAACAACUACACAAGUAUUAUGAUUCACUUUUGAUCACAUACAUUGCAUUCAACUAUCACAUUUGCCUUUACAUUACGUUACAUCAUUUCUUUUUACAUCAUAUUUUCUCAAAAUAAAAGAUUACAUUCUUUCUUUGACAUUUCUAAUCAUCAAAUACAAAAGACGAUAUAAGGGAAUGC